rnacentral:rRNA from 1 species
UACGUAGGGUGCGAGCGUUGUCCGGAAUUAUUGGGCGUAAAGAGCUCGUAGGCGGUCUGUCGCGUCUGCUGUGAAAACUCGGGGCUUAACCCCGGGCCUGCAGUGGGUACGGGCAGACUAGAGUGCGGUAGGGGAGACUGGAAUUCCUGGUGUAGCGGUGAAAUGCGCAGAUAUCAGGAGGAACACCGGUGGCGAAGGCGGGUCUCUGGGCCGGAACUGACGCUGAGGAGCGAAAGCGUGGGGAGCGAACAGG